AUAAACGUCAAAAGAGAAGAAACGAAGAAAAUCGUUAACGUUUUGUAACGGUCGUGAAAAUUUUCCUAGCGUCAGUAUAACUGCUUAAAAGUUGGCAAAAUAUUAUAUUCGGAGUGAAUUAGGCUCGAUUAGUUCUUUCAUUGAAUCCAGCAAAUCGCCAACUUACGUUAUUGAGGCGUGUUUUCGGCAAAGCCACUGGGGCUUAUUGAUUGGAUAAAAUUGUCCUAUUGCCAAGCGCUAGGCAGUUUGCUACCGUAACCUGGCACUCGAGUAGAGCGGAAGUUAGUAGGGGAACUAUUUUUGAGUCCUGUCGAGGACAGUUUCCCGUCAUUAAACGGCAUUAAGUCUAUCCGAGACAGACUACAAAAAACCCAAACAAUGAGAUUGCACAGAGUAUCAAAUUUUGAAUACGGCAAAUGCGCCUGCAUCACUGUUCAAAGUUCGACAGCAUAAGCUUCCAGUAGAAAUAUUAUUUUGUUUUCUUGAUUUCUCGAAAAUCAUAUAUCCUUCAGAUAACUUUAUACUACUAAAAUGUAGGUCUUCAAAUGUAAUUUUUCACCAGCUGAUAACUUCUUUUAUUUACAUUUGGCGCAUUUGCCGUUUUCAAAAUUCACUGCCGAUUUGUCCAGAGAGGCUUGAAUUUAUUCUCCAGAUCAAAUUUAGAUAUGGUUUUGUACAACUACCUACACUAUAAAUCUCUUCGCAGAACUCAACUUAAGGAUUCACAUUCUGAAACCAUAUUGGUUAAAAUUUGGAUUUUAAAAUUUACAAAUAGUCACACUAUUGAAUAUUGAUUCAGAUAAAGCCAAUAACUUCAAUGAAUUUUUAUAACAAUAUUAAUAAUAGUAACAAUUAAACAAAUUUAAAUUUUAAAUUUAAUCACCUGUAGAGCCAUAAAUAUACUUAGAUACCAUGGUGGAGCGUCAUCAAUUCCGUAAUUAAUAUCUGCACCUCGCUUCGGUUCAGCCUCUUUAGAAUUGGAUGUGAGAUUGAUUUCAAUGCUCUGAAA